UACGAAGGGGGCUAGCGUUGUUCGGAAUUACUGGGCGUAAAGCGCGCGCAGGCGGUCCUUCAAGCCAGAGGUGAAAGCCCAGAGCUCAACUCUGGAACGGCCUUUGAGACUAGAGGACUAGGGUAUGGGAGAGGUGAGUGGAAUUCCGAGUGUAGAGGUGAAAUUCGUAGAUAUUCGGAAGAACACCAGUGGCGAAGGCGGCUCACUGGCCCAUUACCGACGCUCAGGCGCGACAGCGUGGGGAGCAAACAGG
rnacentral:rRNA from 1 species